UACGUAGGGUGCGAGCGUUAAUCGGAAUUACUGGGCGUAAAGCGUGCGCAGGCGGUUCGUUGUGUCGGCGGGGAAAGCCCCGGGCUUAACCUGGGAAUGGCCGUUGAAACUGGCGAACUGGAGUGUGGCAGAGGGGGGUGGAAUUCCGCGUGUAGCAGUGAAAUGCGUAGAGAUGCGGAGGAACACCGAUGGCGAAGGCAGCUCCCUGGGCUAACACUGACGCUCAGGCACGAAAGCGUGGGGAGCAAACAGG
rnacentral:rRNA from 1 species